UACGGAGGGUGCAAGCGUUGUCCGGAUUUAUUGGGUUUAAAGGGUGCGUAGGCGGCCCGUUAAGUCAGUGGUGAAAGCCUCCAGCUCAACUGGAGAACUGCCAUUGAUACUGACGGGCUUGAGUACAGACGAGGUUGGCGGAAUUGAUUGUGUAGCGGUGAAAUGCAUAGAUACAAUCAAGAACGCCGAUGGCGUAGGCAGCUAACUAGGCUGUAACUGACGCUGAGGCACGAAAGCGUGGGGAGCGAACAGG
rnacentral:rRNA from 1 species